rnacentral:misc_RNA from 1 species
CGCCUGGUCCGGGUCGCUCGCCAGCCCCAGCGGGUCGAAUGGGCCACCUGGGUGGAGCUUGUCCUCCAGAUCCAGGCCGUUGAUGAUCCGGUAGUACUCGGCGCCGCCGACGAGGACGACCUCGGCGGCGACGGCGACGAUGAGGUUGAUGGGGAUGCUGUUGCCGAAGUAGUUGAGGGUGUUGCCGUCCAGGAGGAGGGCGCCGGUCUUGAACCAGACGGCCUCGGGGCCGCAGUUUGCGCCAAACUUGUUGCAGGCCUCGGGGAUGAUGAACCCAGCGGCGCCGAGCAUCGCCCACCUGGCAUGGAUCAGCUCAUAGGCCUGGUACUUGGAGAAGUCCUCUGGCUUCUUGCUGAGGCCAAAAGGGUCGUAGCCGUAGUCUCCGGGGACCUCUCCGUUGAGGUAGUCCGGCACCUCUGAGCGGUCCAGGAGACCCUCCGGCAAGAAGAUCCUCCUGUCAGGGCCGUACCACUUGGCGAGCUCAUCGCCGAUGUCGGGGCUCGAGGAGGUGACGGCGGCGGGCUUGGGCUUCGGGGCGGGCUUCUUGCUGAAGAGGGAGACGAUCUUCUGCGCUCCGGUGGUCGGUGCCGCGGUGGCGUAGCGGGAGGAGCCGGCGAAGUUGAGCCGGGUGCCGAGCAUCUUGGACGGGGCGAGCGCCGCCAUCGCCUCAGGCCCACAAUUCAGAGGGAGGUGGGAGAUGCAGCAGAAGGGGUGGUGCUGUGUUCAGAAAGGGGGAGACUGUGGUGGGCG